GACGAACGCUGGCGGCGUGCUUAACACAUGCAAGUCGAGCGGUAAGGCCCUUCGGGGCACACGAGCGGCGAACGGGUGAGUAACACGUGGGUGACCUGCCUCUAGCUCUGGGAUAAGCCUGGGAAACUGGGUCUAAUACCGGAUAUGACUCCACGGCGCAUGUUGUGGGGUGGAAAGCCUUGUGUGGCUAGAGAUGGGCCCGCGGCCUAUCAGCUUGUUGGUGGGGGAUGGCCUACCAAGGCGACGACGGGUAGCCGGCCUGAGAGGGCGACCGGCCACACUGGGACUGAGACACGGCCCAGACUCCUACGGGAGGCAGCAGUGGGGAAUUGUUCGCAAUGGGCGCAAGCCUGACGACGCAACGCCGCGUGGAGGAUGAAGA
rnacentral:rRNA from 1 species